rnacentral:rRNA from 1 species
UACAGAGGGGGCAAGCGUUAUUCGGAAUUAUUGGGCGUAAAGGGCGCGUAGGCGGCUAUCCAAGUGGCGGGUGAAAUCCCUCGGCUUAACCGAGGAACUGCCUGCCAGACUGGAUGGCUCGAGACCGGGAGAGGUGAGUGGAAUUCCCAGUGUAGCGGUGAAAUGCGUAGAUAUUGGGAGGAACACCAGUGGCGAAGGCGGCUCGCUGGAACGGUACUGACGCUGAGGCGCGAAAGCGUGGGGAGCAAACAGG